rnacentral:rRNA from 1 species
UGUCUAGUAUAAGCAAUUAUACAGCGAAACUGCGAAUGGCUCAUUAUAUAAGUUAUCGUUUAUUUGAUAGUACCUUACUACUUGGAUAACCGUGGUAAUUCUAGAGCUAAUACAUGCUAAAAAUCCCGACUCCGGAAGGGAUGUAUUUAUUAGAUUAAAAACCAAUGCCCUCUGGGCUCCUUGGUGAUUCAUAAUAACUUUUCGAAUCGCAUGGCCUUGCGCCGGCGAUGGUUCAUUCAAAUUUCUUCCCUAUCAACUUUCGAUGUUUGGGUAUUGGCCAAACAUGGUCGCAACGGGUAACGGAGGGUUAGGGCUCGACCCCGGAGAAGGAGCCUGAGAAACGGCUACUACAUCCAAGGAAGGCAGCAGGCGCGCAAAUUACCCAAUCCCGAUUCGGGGAGGUAGUGACAAUAAAUACUGAUACAGGGCUCUUUUGGGUCUUGUAAUUGGAAUGAGUACAAUUUAAAUCCCUUAACGAGGAACAAUUGGAGGGCAAGUCUGGUGCCAGCAGCCGCGGUAAUUCCAGCUCCAAUAGCGUAUAUUAAAGUUGUUGUGGUUAAAAAGCUCGUAGUUGAACCUUGGGCCUGGCUGGCCGGUCCGCCUCACCGCGUGCACUGGUCCGGCCGGGCCUUUCCCUCUGUGGAACCCCAUGCCCUUCACUGGGUGUGGCGGGGAAACAGGACUUUUACUUUGAAAAAAUUAGAGUGCUCCAGGCAGGCCUAUGCUCGAAUACAUUAGCAUGGAAUAAUGAAAUAGGACGUGUGGUUCUAUUUUGUUGGUUUCUAGGACCGCCGUAAUGAUUAAUAGGGACAGUCGGGGGCAUCAGUAUUCAAUUGUCAGAGGUGAAAUUCUUGGAUUUAUUGAAGACUAACUACUGCGAAAGCAUUUGCCAAGGAUGUUUUCAUUAAUCAGGAACGAAAGUUAGGGGAUCGAAGACGAUCAGAUACCGUCGUAGUCUUAACCAUAAACUAUGCCGACUAGGGAUCGGACGAUGUUAUUUUUUGACGCGUUCGGCACCUUACGAGAAAUCAAAGUGCU